rnacentral:lncRNA from 1 species
UAUCUCAGGAGUUAAGUUUCAACAUAUGAAUUUUGUUGUGAAUACUGAGAUCAUAGCAGCAGUGAUUCUAAUAUUCUGGUAAAUUAUAAAAAAAAUACCUUAAAUAACACAGCCUGAUAGAACACAAAAUUGACAGAAUUUCAAGGAGGAAAAAACAGAUCCAGAUUCACACAGUGAAAGAUUUUAGUCUGAAUCUCAGUAAUCGAAAAAUAUAACAAAAAUCAGAACAAUCUUCUUAAAGUGUGUUAAAACAACACAAUGAAGCAAAUUGAUUUAAUAGAUAAAACCCAAACACUUAAUACUGCAUUUUAUUUUCAAACGCACCUGGAACAUUUAGAAAAGUUAACUAGUGCUACUACUAGGAGUCCAUGAAGUGAAUUUCAAUGAAUAUUAAAGAGUCACUAACUUUCUUUUCCAACUAUUAUGCAAGUUGUAUAGAAAUUAAUAAAAGAUAACUGAAUAAUUCCAUAUUUUUAUAAUAGAGAAGACAAAGAUAGUAAAAAGUGAUAAUAUGAUAAAUAACAUAGGCUCCUUGAUGCACCAUUAAUGUCUCUCUCCUUUUUUUUUUUGGUGGGGGAAGGGGAGCACUAGGUUAAGUCUCCAGGGGCAAUUGACCACUGAGCCAUAUCUCCAGUGCUGUCUAUUUUUAUUUUGAGAGAGGGUCUCACUAAGUUUCUUCGGGUCUUACUUAGUUGCUGAGGCUGGCCUUGAACCUGUGAUCCUCCUGUCUUAGCCUUCUGAGCUACAGGGAUUACAGAUGUGUGCCCCCAUUCCUGGAUGAUUAAUAUCAUUUGAAGGAACUGAAUCAAUUCACUCUAAAACCAUGAGACUCUACUUGGGAUUUGUUCUUUUUUCUUUCUUUCUUUUUUCUUUGGUACCAGGGAUUGAACUCAGGGGCACUCCACCACUGAGCCACAUCUCAGCCCUAUUUUGAAUUUUAUUUAGAGACAGGGUCUCACUGAACUGCUUAAUCUUGAAGUUGCUGAGGUUGGCUUUGAACUUGCAAUCCUCCUGCCUCAGCCUCCUGAGCUGCUGGAGCUACAGGUGUGCGCCACCGCACCUGGCUUGUUCUUUUUUGGGCUAAUGCAUUCAAACACUUAAUUAGAUAAUUUCCUAGAAAAAUGUAACCUGAGACCCUGUGCCUAUUAGAAGAAAAUGUAAGCCCAACUCUCUAUCAUAUCUGCUUAGGAACUGACUUCCUCAAUAAGACUGUUAAAGUGCAAGAAGUAAAAUCAAGAAUCAAUAAAUGGAUGGUAUCAAACUAAAAAGCUUCUUCCCAACAAAGGAAGCAAUCAAUAAAGAGAGAGCCUACAGAAUGGGGAAAAAGUCUUUGCCACUCCCAGCAUAUAUAAAGAACUCAAAAAACUUGACACCUAAACCAAAAAUAACCCAAUCAAUACAUGAGCAAAGGAACUGAACAGGCACUUUACAGAAGAAAUAUGAUUGGUCAACAAAUGUAUGAAAAAAUGUUCACCAUCUCUAUUAAUUGAAAAAAAAAUGCAAAUUAAAACUACACUGAGAUUCUAUCUCAUUCCAGGCAGAAUGACAAUUAUCAAGAAUAAAAGUUACAAUAAAUGUUGGCAAGGAUGUGGGGGAAAAGGCACACUCAUACAUUGCUGGUGGGACGGCAAAUUGGUGCAACCACUCUGCAAAGCAGUAUGGAGAGUCCUCAGAAAACUUGGAAUGGAAUCACCAUUUGACCCAGUUAUUCCACUCCUUGGCAUAUACCCAGAGGGCUUAAAAUCAGCGUGCUAUAACGACACAGCCACAUUAAUGUUUAUAGCAUCUCAAUUCACAAUAGCUAAGCUAUGGAACUAACCUAGGUUCUCUUCAACAAUGAAUGCAUAAAGAAAAUGUGGUAUAUACACAGUGGAAUAAUACUCAGCCAAAAAGAAGAAUGAAGUCAUGGCAUUUGCUGACAUUUGGAUGGAACUGGAGACUGUCAUGCUAAGUGAAAUAAGCCAUCCCCCAAAACCAAACACUGAAUGUUGUCUCUGAUAUGUGGAUGCUGAGAUACAAUAAAGCGUCCAGGGAAGAAGAGAAGUUCAUUGGAUUAGACAAGGGGGAAUGAAGGGAAGGGAAAAGGAUGGGAAUAGGAAAGUGGAAUGAAUUG